rnacentral:misc_RNA from 1 species
GAUGAAGAACGUAGUGAAAUGCGAUAAGUAAUGUGAAUUGCAGAAUUCAGUGAAUCAUCGAAUCUUUGAACGCACAUUGCGCCCGCCAGCAUUCUGGCGGGCAUGCCUGUUCGAGCGUCAUUUCAACCCUCGAGCCCCCCCGGGGGCCUCGGUGUUGGGGGACGGCACACCAGCCGCCCCCGAAAUGCAGUGGCGACCCCGCCGCAGCCUCCCCUGCGUAGUAGCACACACCUCGCACCGGAGCGCGGAGGCGGUCACGCCGUAAAACGCCCAACUUUCUUAGAGUUGACCUCGGAUCAGGUAGGAAUACCCGCUGAACUUAAGCAUAUCAACGGAGGA